GUGCUCACUUCAGCAGCACACAGACUAAAAUUGGAAUGAUAAAGAGAUUAGCUUGGCCCUUGUGCAAGGAUGACACGAAAAUUCGUGAAGUGUACCAUAUUUUU
rnacentral:snRNA from 1 species